rnacentral:rRNA from 1 species
GACGAACGCUGGCGGCGCGCCUAACACAUGCAAGUCGAACGAGCGAGAGAGAGCUUGCUUUCUUGAGCGAGUGGCGAACGGGUGAGUAACGCGUGAGGAACCUGCCUCAAAGAGGGGGACAACAGUUGGAAACGACUGCUAAUACCGCAUAAGCCCACGGUGCCGCAUGGCACAGAGGGAAAAGGAGCAAUCCGCUUUGAGUUGGCCUCGCGUCCGAUUAGCUAGUUGGUGAGGUAACGGCCCACCAAGGCGACGAUCGGUAGCCGGACUGAGAGGUUGAACGGCCACAUUGGGACUGAGACACGGCCCAGACUCCUACGGGAGGCAGCAGUGGGGAAUAUUGCACAAUGGGGGAAACCCUGAUGCAGCGACGCCGCGUGGAGGAAGAAGGUCUUCGGAUUGUAAACUCCUGUUGUUGGGGAAGAUAAUGACGGUACCCAACAAGGAAGUGACGGCUAACUACGUG